AUUAGAGUUUGAUCCUAGCUCAGGAUGAACGCUGGCGGCGUGGAUAAGGCAUGCAAGUCAAACGGCCCGCACACUUACUUUGUCAUUGCACUUCGUGCAAGAUGAAAUCGAUGACAAAGUAAGUGUGCGGGUAGUGGCAGACGAGGUAGUAACACGUAGGAACCUACUCUUAAGCCGGGAAUAAUUCACCGAAAGGUGGACUAAUACUCGAUAAUAUCUUCGGAUUAAAGAAGCAAUUCACUUAGGAAAGGGCCUGCGGAGUAUCAGCUAGUUGGUAGGGUAAUGGCCUACCAAGGCAAUGACGCUUAGGGGACCUGAGAGGGUGACCCCCACCGAUGGGACUGAGACACGGCCCAUACACCUACGGGUGGCCGCAGUCGAGAAUCUUCCGCAAUGGACGAAAGUCUGACGGAGCGACG
rnacentral:rRNA from 1 species